rnacentral:rRNA from 1 species
GGAUCANCCCGCUCCCGGUAAAACGGGACGGCCCGCCAGAGGACCCCUAAACUCUGUUUCUAUAUGUAACUUCUGAGUAAAACCAUAAAUAAAUCAAAACUUUCAACAACGGAUCUCUUGGUUCUGGCAUCGAUGAAGAACGCAGCAAAAUGCGAUAAGUAAUGUGAAUUGCAGAAUUCAGUGAAUCAUCGAAUCUUUGAACGCACAUUGCGCCCGCCAGUAUUCUGGCGGGCAUGCCUGUUCGAGCGUCAUUUCAACCCUCAAGCCCCCGGGUUUGGUGUUGGGGAUCGGCGAGCCCUUGCGGCAAGCCGGCCCCGAAAUCUAGUGGCGGUCUCGCUGCAGCUUCCAUUGCGUAGUAGUAAAACCCUCGCAACUGGUACGCGGCGCGGCCAAGCCGUUAAACCCCCAACUUCUGAAUGUUGACCUCGGAUCAGGUAGGAAUACCCGCUGAACUUAAGCAUAUCAAUAAGCGGAGGA